UACGUAGUGUCCAAGCGUUAUCCGGAAUCACUGGGCGUAAAGCGUGCGUAGGUGGCGUGUUAAGUGUGAUGUUAAAUCGUGUGGCUCAACCAUAUCGAUGUGUCGCAUACUGGCAUGCUAGAGGACAGCAGAGGCAAGUGGAAUUUGUAGUGUAGCAGUGAAAUGCGUAGAUAUGUGGAGGAACACCGAUGGCGAAGGCAGCCCCCUGGGUCAACACUGACGCUCAUGCACGAAAGCGUGGGGAGCAAACAGG
rnacentral:rRNA from 1 species